rnacentral:lncRNA from 1 species
CUCUCGCUCUGUUGACCAGGCUGGAGUGCAGUGGCGCUACCACAGCUCACUGCAGCCUUGACCUCCCAGGCUCAAGCAAUCCUCCACCUCAGCCUUGCAAGCAGAUGGGACUAUAGGACAGUGGCAUACUAUCACAUCUAUCAAAGAAAAUGUGAAAAGUGCCUGAAAUGUGCUACUGAUCAACCAAUAGCAGUGAAAACUCACAUAUGGUACACAUUCCAUUUGGAUCACAAAAGCAAAGGUGAGUAAUGUCACCAUCAUUCACUGAGGUGGAGUUGAAUGACAGCUUACCCUUCCUCCAGGUCCAUUUUCACAGCCCAAUUCAUCACAUACUCUGUUGGCUAAACUAACUGCUGAGAUUCUUCGGGGUUGGGUACAGACAAUGUUACAUUUACUUGCUUCCCACUCAUUUAGAAGCAAAUCUUCCAAUAGAAAAUGUGGUACCUGAGUACUUUUACCACUCCCUGUUUCACCUGCCACAACCACUACCCGAUGCCUUUUAAGAGUUUCAACAAUUGAGUCCCGAUGUUUAAAUACAGGUAGCUGUUGUCUUUCCUUUAGAAGUUUCUGAUACUUAGGUGUGCUUUGCAACUUUCUAAAGAGGUUUCUAACAGGUUCCAAAUCUUCCACAUUUGCUGAUUCCAAGGACAGUGCAGAAAAAUCCUCAUCCGAAACUAAAUUUUCCCAAGAUUCCUCGGGAUCUUCAGAGUUUUCUCUCUUAUUUUCAGAAUGCUGUUGUUGCUGCUGUUGCUGCUGUUUCAGUUUAUUCAGAAGUUUGGCAAUAAAAAGAUCACGUGGUUUAUUGGUUUCCAUUUUAUUUAAUUCUUCCCUUUUCUUUUCUGCAUCACUCCACUCCAGCCAAACAUCUCGGUAAGUGGGAGGAAGUAACUGAU